rnacentral:rRNA from 1 species
GACGAACGCUGGCGGCGUGCUUAACACAUGCAAGUCGAACGGAAAGGCCCUGCUUUUGUGGGGUGCUCGAGUGGCGAACGGGUGAGUAACACGUGAGUAACCUGCCCUUGACUUUGGGAUAACUUCAGGAAACUGGGGCUCAUACCGGAUAGGAGCUCCUGCUGCAUGGUGGGGGUUGGAAAGUUUCGGCGGUUGGGGAUGGACUCGCGGCUUAUCAGCUUGUUGGUGGGGUAGUGGCUUACCAAGGCUUUGACGGGUAGCCGGCCUGAGAGGGUGACCGGCCACAUUGGGACUAAGAUACGGCCCAGAAUGCUACGGGAGGCAGCAGGGGGGAAUAUUGCACAAUGGGCGGAAGCCUGAUGCAGCAACGCCGCGUGCGGAAUGACGGCCUUCGGGUUAUAAACAGAUUUCGCAUGUGACAAAGCAUGAGUGACGGUAAUGGGUAAAGAAGCACCGGCUAACUAAGUG